rnacentral:rRNA from 1 species
GACGAACGCUGGCGGCGUGCUUAACACAUGCAAGUCGAACGGUAAGGCCCCAGUUUGCUGGGGCACACGAGUGGCGAAUGGGUGAGUAACACGUGGGCGACCCGUCCCGUCCUUCGGACUACGCGUGGCAAACGGGGAUAACUAACGGAAAUGCUUGCACCGUGGGGGGGGGUGGGAAACUUGUUCGGUGUGGGAUGGACCCGCGGCUUAUCAGCUUGUUGGUGGGGUAGUGGCUUACCAAGGCGGCGACGGUUAGCCGGCCUGAGAGGGUGGCCGGCCACAUGGGGACGGGGACACGGCCCGGACUCCUACGGGGGGCAGCGGGGGGGAUAUUUGCACAAGGGGCGGAGGCCGAAUGCGGCGACGCGGCGGGGGGGAUAACGGCCUUCGGGUGGUAAACGCCUUUCGCCAGCGACGAGGGUGUUCUGACGGUAGAUGGAGAAGAAGCACCGGCUAACUACGUG